CCGUCAAUUCAUUUAAGUUUCAGCCUUGCGACCGUACUCCCCAGGCGGAAUACUUAAUGCGUUAGCUUCGGCACGGCAGGGAUCGAUACCCGCCACACCGAGUAUUCAUCGUUUAGGGCUAGGACUACCGGGGUAUCUAAUCCCGUUUGCUCCCCUAGCUUUCGCGGUUCAGUGUCAGUAAUGGUCCAGGAUGCCGCCUUCGCCACCGGUAUUCCUCCAGAUAUCUACGCAUUUCACCGCUACACCUGGAAUUCUACAUCCCUCUCCCAUCCUCAAGCCGUCCAGUAUCAGACGCAGUUCCCAGGUUAAGCCGGGGGAUUUCACGUCUGACUUAGAUGGCCACCUACUCGCCCUUUACGCCCAGUAAUUCCGGACAACGCUUGCCACCUCUGUAUUACCG
rnacentral:misc_RNA from 1 species